rnacentral:rRNA from 1 species
GACGAACGCUGGCGGCGUGCUUAACACAUGCAAGUCGAACGGAAAGGCCCUGCUUUUGUGGGGUGCUCGAGUGGCGAACGGGUGAGUAACACGUGAGUAACCUGCCCUUGACUUUGGGAUAACUUCAGGAAACUGGGGCUAAUACCGGAUAGGAGCUCCUGCUGCAUGGUGGGGGUUGGAAAGUUUCGGCGGUUGGGGAUGGACUCGCGGCUUAUCAGCUUGUUGGUGGGGUAGUGGCUUACCAAGGCUUUGACGGGUAGCCGGCCUGAGAGGGUGACCGGCCACAUUGGGACUGAGAUACGGACCAGACUCCUACGGGAGGCAGCAGUGGGGAAUAUUGCACAAUGGGCGGAAGCCUGAUGCAGCAACGCCGCGUGCGGGAUGACGGCCUUCGGGUUAUAAACCGCUUUGGCCUGUGACGAAGCGUGAGUGACGGUAAUGGGUAAAGAAGCACCGGCUAACUACGUG